GAAGAUGAUCAUGAGUCUUGAAGUAGAGCACAGAAGGAUCUACACUAAUGGAAUAUGGAUGCACAUAGCAGAAAAAGGCCAAGGACCUCUUAUUCUCCUUAUUCAUGGCUUUCCUGAGCUUGCUGGGUUCAUCAGAUUAAUCACUUGUCGGCACAUGGUUAUCAUGUGGUUGCACCUGAUAUGCGAGGCUAUGGAGACUCCGACUGUCCUCCGCAUCCUUCCUCCUAUACUCUUUUCCAUACAGUUGGAGACUUGAUUGGCCUUCUUGAUGAGCUUGGAAAAGAACAGGCAUUUGUGAUAGGACAUGACUGGGGUGCAGAAAUUGCAUGGCACCUUUGCCUUUUCAGGCCAGAUAGAGUAAAGGCUCUCGUUAACUUAGGCGUCCCUUAUCGGCCACGUUCCCCACAGUUCAAACCUUCUCACUACUUCACUAAAUAUGGACGAGGCUUCUACAUCUCCCAGUUCCAGGAGCCUGGAGGAGCAGAAAAUUCUUUCUCCAAGUAUGACUCGGUGACAAUUCUGAAGAAGUUUCUGUUGAUCAAUGCUCCUGAUCUUCUAGCAGCACCUCCAGGGGUUGAGAUUAUAGAUUUUCUCGAGACCCCAUCUUUGUUGCCUCCAUGGAUUACUGAAGAAGAGCUCCAAUUUUCUGCUAGCAAGUUUCAGAAAACUGGUUUCACAGGGGCCCUGAACUAUUACCGUGCUAUGGACUUGAACUGGGAGCUUCUUGGGGCAUGGCAGGGAGCUAAAAUUACAGUGCCUACAAAAUUGAUAAUUGGUGACAAGGAUUUGGGGUUUGUAUCAUUUGGGACAAAGGACUACAUUAAUGGAGAAAUAUUCAAGAGCUUUGUACCUAACCUUGAAGUGGUUGUCAUUGAUGGGCACCAUUUUAUCCAGCAGGAGAAAGCUGAACAAGUUUCUAAUGAAAUUUUAUCCUUUUUUAGCAAGAAACCAAAGAUGUGAUCAAUGAAUCAAUUAUGCAAAUAGUUUAGC
rnacentral:misc_RNA from 1 species